UUCCGGUUGAUCCUGCCGGAGGCCAUUGCUAUCGGGGUCCGACUCAGCCAUGCUAGUCGUGCGGGUUCAGACCCGCGGCAGACAGCUCAGUAACACGUGGCCAAACUACCCUCUGGACGCGGACACCCUCGGGAAACUGAGGCUAAUCCACGAUACGGCUCCCACGCUGGAAUGCGGGGAGCCGGAAACGCUCCGGCGCCAGAGGAUGUGGCUGCGGCCGAUUAGGUAGACGGUGGGGUAACGGCCCACCGUGCCCAUAAUCGGUACGGGAUGUGAGAGCAAAUAGCCCGGAGAUGGAUUCUGAGACAAGAAUCCAGGCCCUACGGGGCGCAGCAGGCGCGAAACCUUUACACUGCACGCCAGUGCGAUAAGGGGACCCCGAGUGCGAGGGCAUACAGUCCUCGCUUUUGUACACCGUAAGGAGGUGCACGAAUAAGGGCUGGGCAAGACCGGUGCCAGCCGCCGCGGUAAUACCGGCAGCCCGAGUGAUGGCCGCUGUUAUUGGGCCUAAAGCGUCCGUAGCCGGCCGAACAAGUCUGUCGGGAAAUCCAUCUGCCUAACAGAUGGGCGUCCGGCAGAAACUGUUCGGCUUGGGGGCCGGAAGAUCCGAGGGGUACGUCCGGGGUAGGAGUGAAAUCCCGUAAUCCUGGACGGACCGCCGGUGGCGAAAGCGCCUCGGAAGGACGGACCCGACGGUGAGGGACGAAAGCUGGGGUCUCGAACCGGAUUAGAUACCCGGGUAGUCCCAGCCGUAAACGAUGAUCGCUAGGUGUGGCACAGGCUACGAGCCUGUGCUGUGCCGUAGGGAAGCCGUGAAGCGAUCCGCCUGGGAAGUACGUCCGCAAGGAUGAAACUUAAAGGAAUUGGCGGG
rnacentral:rRNA from 1 species